UACGGAGGGUGCAAGCGUUAUCCGGAUUCACUGGGUUUAAAGGGUGCGUAGGCGGGCAGGUAAGUCCGUGGUGAAAUCUCUGAGCUUAACUCAGAAACUGCCAUGGAUACUAUUUGUCUUGAAUGUUGUGGAGGUAAGCGGAAUAUGUCAUGUAGCGGUGAAAUGCUUAGAUAUGACAUAGAACACCAAUUGCGAAGGCAGCUUACUACACAAAUAUUGACGCUGAGGCACGAAAGCGUGGGGAUCAAACAGG
rnacentral:rRNA from 1 species